rnacentral:tRNA from 1 species
GCGGACAUAGUUUAGUGGCAAAAUGGUUGCUUCCCAAGCAACAGAUCGGGGUCCGAUUCCCCGUGUCCGCA